AUUGAACGCUGGCGGCAGGCUUAACACAUGCAAGUCGAGCGAGCGGCGGACGGGUGAGUAAUGUCUGGGAAACUGCCUGAUGGAGGGGGAUAACUACUGGAAAUUGUAGCUAAUACCGCAUACCAUCAUAUUUGCCCAAAUGCGAUUAGCUAGUAGGUGGGGUAAUGGCUCACCUGGGCGACGAUCCCUCGCUGGUCUGAGAGGAUGACCAGCCACACUGAAACUGAGACAGGGGCAAGACUCCUACGGGAGGCAGCAGGGGGGAAUAUUGCACAAUGGGCGCAAGCCUGAUGCAGCCAUGCCGCGUGUGUGAAGAAGGCCAUCGGGUUGUAAAGCACUUUAAGCGAGGAGGCGUUACUCGCAGAAGAAGCACCGGCUAACUCCGUGCCAGCAGCCGCGGUAAUAC
rnacentral:rRNA from 1 species